rnacentral:rRNA from 1 species
ACGGAAGGCAGCAGUGGGGGAUAUUGCACAAUGGGGGAAACCCUGAUGCAGCGACGCCGCGUGAGCGAUGAAGUAUUUCGGUAUGUAAAGCUCUAUCAGCAGGGAAGAAAAUGACGGUACCUGACUAAGAAGCUCCGGCUAAAUACGUGCCAGCAGCCGCGGUAAUACGUAUGGAGCAAGCGUUAUCCGGAUUUACUGGGUGUAAAGGGAGCGUAGACGGCGUGGCAAGUCUGAUGUGAAAGCUAUGGGCUCAACCCAUAAACUGCAUUGGAAACUGUCAUGCUAGAGUGUCGGGGAGGUAAGCGGAAUUCCUAGUGUAGCGGUGAAAUGCGUAGAUAUUAGGAGGAACACCAGUGGCGAAGGCGGCUUACUGGACGAUAACUGACGUUGAGGCUCGAAAGCGUGGGGAGCAAACAGGAUUAGAUACCCUGGUA